rnacentral:lncRNA from 1 species
ACAGAAGUUAAACUUCUUUCCAGGGAAGAAGGGCGGGGAUGUCAGGGCUGGAGAGUGCCCGUGUCCUUCUGUGUGCAUUGGGCUCCUUCCUCCUUAAUUCUCUGCUUUCCACUUUUAGGCUGAACUCCAGUGCACCCAGUUAGACUUGGAGCGGAAACUCAAGUUGAAUGAAAAUGCCAUCUCCAGGCUCCAGGCUAACCAAAAGUCUGUUCUGGUGUCGGUGUCAGAGGUCAAAGCAGUGGCUGAAAUGCAGUUUGGGGAACUCCUUGCUGCUGUGAGGAAGGCCCAGGCCAAUGUGAUGCUCUUCUUAGAGGAGAAGGAGCAAGCUGCGCUGAGCCAGGCCAACGGUAUCAAGGCCCACCUGGAGUACAGGAGUGCCGAGAUGGAGAAGAGUAAGCAGGAGCUGGAGACGAUGGCGGCCAUCAGCAACACUGUCCAGUUCUUGGAGAUGUGCAUGACAUCACGUUCGACCCGGACACAGCACACAAGUAUCUCCGGCUGCAGGAGGAGAACCGCAAGGUCACCAACACCACGCCCUGGGAGCAUCCCUACCCGGACCUCCCCAGCAGGUUCCUGCACUGGCGGCAGGUGCUGUCCCAGCAGAGUCUGUACCUGCACAGGUACUAUUUUGAGGUGGAGAUCUUCGGGGCAGGCACCUAUGUUGGCCUGACCUGCAAAGGCAUCGACCAGAAAGGGGAGGAGCGCAGCAGUUGCAUUUCCGGAAACAACUUCUCCUGGAGCCUCCAAUGGAACGGGAAGGAGUUCACGGCCUGGUACAGUGACAUGGAGACCCCACUCAAAGCUGGCCCUUUCUGGAGGCUCGGGGUCUAUAUUGACUUCCCAGGAGGGAUCCUUUCCUUCUAUGGCGUAGAGUAUGAUUCCAUGACUCUGGUUCACAAGUUUGCCUGCAAGUUUUCAGAACCAGUCUAUGCUGCCUUCUGGCUUUCCAAGAAGGAAAACGCCAUCCGGAUUGUAGAUCUGGGAGAGGAACCCGAGAAG